CAAAGCUGGCAUAUGUAGCAUCUUGCAUUGCGGGGGUGGGGCAUGAUGUCACACGGGGGCAAAGUCGUGUCGUCACGAUACUCCGGCCCCGUGGUCAUCACAUGGCAGAUUUUGAGCUGCCACCGCGGCGUGCAGUUCCCCAAGAUAGGUGCUGAAUGCUAAAUUGCGGGGGGUCCCCAGCGGCGGGACCCCCAAGGUCUGACAUCUUAUCCCCUAUCCUUUGGAUAGGGGAUAAGAUGUCUUAGGGCCGGAGCACCCCUUUAAUUCUGUCUGAAUCAGUCCCGGACUUUGUACUGAUGUCAUACAAUUCUAUAAAGUGGAAUACUCCAAAUGUUUUUCAUUUUCCACCCACUAGUCAUAAACCUAGCACGCCCCACGCCCUGAACUUAAUCCUUAUAUUGAGGACUCCUAUGAGACAAGGAUGAUGUGUUUCCCUUUGACCACAAAGCAAUGAUAUCAAAGUCUGUAUAGUCUAUGGGGCUGGACUGGAAAUAUCCUUAUUUAUUAACCAGGCUUAUCAGCCUUUGGGAGCGGUUCAAUCUGACAAUGUGGUCCUUGGAACAGAAAAGUUUGUUUCCUCCAGAAUCUGAAGUCUUUCCCGAGCGAGUCCCUUUGGUCAGAUUCACACAGAAUAGUUUGGUGCAGUUUUUCCGCAGCAGCGGAUUGUAGCGAGAGGGUAUGAAGAGGAGAUGAGGAUCCUGUGCAGCCCAGAAGGUCUCAGGGGACAGCCAGCCGGCGCCCUGUGGACAGCUGAGAGUAUGGAGUGCAGCAAAUGACCUUGGCAGCCGGUGCUCGGGUGUCCAGCGCUGAUAUCACAGAGGAUCUAGACCCAAUUAGAGUUGAACAUCUUGGCCUUUAUGCUCUCUCACUAAACAAAGCCGGUUUAGUCAUGGACACAUACGGGGGAAAACCCCUGAUUAGCCCCACUUAGGGCAACAUUGGAUAUGCCCAAUUAACUUUUCUUUUUGUAUUCUUUUCUUUUUUCACAUGCUGUUUUUUCCUGGUAGUUUUUUUUUUUUUUACGGCUCUUUUUCUGUAGUCUUUUUUUUUCAAAGUCCUGAUUGGGUUAAGAUAUUUUGAAUGAUAUGAUGCAGAUAGCUUUGAUGUUGAGGAAACUGAUAAGAUAAAUAUAAUAAAAAUAGAGCACUAUGUUCUGAAUAGAUUCCUGGUUAGUCUCUCUAUGUUAAUUCCUAGGCUUCAUAUUUUCCUGUACUUGCGCUGGUUAGGUACUAGUCAUACUCAU